CUGGGGAAGCCGUGCCCUUCGGCGCAUCACACUUAGGGGGGAGCUGCGGAUGAGCAGUGGGGGUUAAUGAGCAGCCAGGCUUAACGAGCAGCGGGGCUCUCCCUGCUGAGCCCCAUCCCGCAGAGCCCCGCACGGCGCUGCGGGAGGCUGAGACGUGACUGGCGCUGGGUUGCUGCAGCACGCUGAGGCUUGGCAGAGGGAUGGGAGGAAGGAAGGAGGAAGAGCCCCGUGGAAGGGCUGUGGCUUUCGGCAGCCUUGUGAAAAUCUGGGCCGGUUUGGGGGGGAUUAAAGCCCUCAGCAUUCAGGCUCCGGGCGCAGGAAACAGCAGCUUUUCUUCUGGCUCGAGUUGGAAAGACACGGCCCCUCUGUUCUGCUGAAAGCCCCUGGUUGCUGAAUGACCCCCGGCCCUGAAUGAAGUGCCUCUCAAUUAAAAGUUUCCCAUUGACGCCGCCUGAAUGAGAACCUCGCCGUGGAAUUCACCCCGCCUGAAUGGCAUCAAAUAUGACGGGGCCAAUAGAUUUCCCACAAUAUUUGUACACCUUCCUUUGUGGGGAUUUUUCCCUCCGCUGAACCAG
ensembl:lncRNA